UAGGGAAUCUUCCACAAUGGACGAAAGUCUGAUGGAGCAACGCCGCGUGAGUGAAGAAGGGUUUCGGCUCGUAAAACUCUGUUGUUAAAGAAGAACAUAUCUGAGAGUAACUGUUCAGGUAUUGACGGUAUUUAACCAGAAAGCCNCGGCUAACUACGUGCCAA
rnacentral:rRNA from 1 species